rnacentral:rRNA from 1 species
UCGAGGAUCUUCGGCAAUGGGCGAAAGCCUGACCGAGCGACGCCGCGUGUGCGAUGAAGGCCUUCUGGUUGUAAAGCACUGUCGAGGGGGAGCAAGCCGUAAGGUUGAGAGUACCCCUGGAGGAAGCACGGGCUAAGUUCGUGCCAGCAGCCGCGGUAAGACGAACCGUGCGAACGUUAUUCGGAAUCACUGGGCUUAAAGGGCGCGUAGGCGGGUGAAUAAGUCGAGGGUGAAAGCCUCUAGCUCAACUAGAGAAGUGCCCUCGAAACUGUUUGUCUUGAGAGAGAUAGGGGCACACGGAACUUCCGGUGGAGCGGUGAAAUGCGUAGAGAUCGGAAGGAACGCCGGUGGCGAAAGCGGUGUGCUGGAUCUUUUCUGACGCUGAGGCGCGAAAGCUAGG